GAUGAACGCUGGCGGCGUGCCUAAUACAUGCAAGUCGAGCGAACAGACGAGGAGCUUGCUCCUUUGACGUUAGCGGCGGACGGGUGAGUAACACGUAGGUAACCUAACUAUAAGACUGGGAUAACUUCGGGAAACCGGAGCUAAUACCGGAUAAUAUUUCGAACCGCAUGGUUCGAUAGUGAAAGAUGGCUUUGCUUUCACUUAUAGAUGGACCUGCGCCGUAUUAGCUAGUUGGUAAGGUAACGGCUUACCAAGGCAACGACGCGUAGCCGACCUGAGAGGGUGAUCGGCCACACUGGAACUGAGACACGGUCCAGACUCCGACGGGAGGCAGCAGUAGGGAAUCUUCCGCAAUGGGCGAAAGCCUGACGGAGCAACGCCGCGUGAGUGAUGAAGGUGUUCGGAUCGUAAAACUCUGUUAUUAGGGAAGAACAAACGUGUAAGUAACUGUGCACGUCUUGACGGUACCUGGACAGAAAGCCACGGCUAACUACGUG
rnacentral:rRNA from 1 species